rnacentral:rRNA from 15 species
GGCACUUCUUAGAGGGACACUUUGGGUUUACCAGAGGGAAGUUUGUGGCAAUAACAGGUCUGUGAUGCCCUUAGAUGUUCUGGGCCGCACGCGCGCUACACUGACUGGGGGAGCACGUUGCUUUGUCGUACGACAACGUCCUGGGCCGGAAGGUUUGGGUAAUCGUGUGAAUACCAGUCGUGAUGGGGCUAGAUCUUUGCAAUUAUUGAUCUCCAACGAGGAAUUCCUAGUAAACGCAAGUCAUCAGCUUGCAUUGAUUACGUCCCUGCCCUUUGUACACACCGCCCGUCGCACCUACCGAUUGAACGUUCCGGUGAGACCUUCGGAGGGCACGAUGUUCCUGGCGACAGGACGUGGUGGCCAAAGUUGAGCAAACCUUAACGUUUAGAGGAAGGUGAAGUCGUAACAAGGUUUCCGUAGGUGAACCUGCGGAAGGAUCAUU